ACUUAACCUCUCUGAGUCUCUGUAAAAUGGAGGGAAAAAAUGCUUCUCUGGAAGAGUGGUUAAAUACUUGAAAGAGGCAAUGUAACUGUCUUAUGCCUAGAGCAUAGUAGGUGCUUAACAAACAGUAGCUUAUUUCUGGCAUUAUAAUUAGAUGAGGGGAAGGUCCCUCCUAGCACAGACCCUGGAAGAUUCUAUGACUCAGGGAGUGGGCAGAUUGCAUCCAUGGUCCCUGCCCUCAUUUGUAGCUACCUGAAGGGCCUGUCUCAGCAAUAAAAACAGCCAAGUGAGCACAGGCAGAGAAACAUCAUUUCCUCCUCCUCUUGAGGGCAGGAGUCCAGGCGCAGCCCCAGCAGCAGGUUGGAAUAAAUGCAGAUGCUGCAAAUUGAUGGAGGCCUGGUGUCUUCCAGAGUGGAGGUAAAGGCUGGCUGAGGAAUCAGUGAGGCCAGGAAGAGGGCUCAGCUGAGCAACUGAUCAAAGCAUCCCUCUUCAGGAAGGAGCUUCCUGUGUUUUCUCUGGGAACUCACCUGUUUUCCACUCCAGACUCUCCAAGAUAUGCAGAGCUUUGGGCCAGGAUCCUACAGCCACGGGUCAUGCAGAGCCAGUUGGCCACAUCCUUUGGGCCAAAUUUGGUCCUAACCAGGUCUUACCACGGUAACUGCUAACCAGUCCAUCUUCAGUUAAUAUUUCAUGCAAAACAAUGGGCAAGUCAGCUCAUGAAGAACUUUUCAGAUAUUCAGACUAUUAUUCUGAGAGAGAAAAUAUUGGCAGAGAACAGAUGGGAUUUUUCUCAAGGAAAAGAAAUGGAAAUCCUACAUCUUGCAAGAAAUAGAAAAAAAUAAAUAAACUGUUUGAAGAAGAAUCACAUCAGGCUGGCAGGAGAGAGCCUGCGGCUCGGUGUCUGACCCAGAAUGUUAAAGCCAGCCUGGCUUGGCUCCAGGAUAAAGGACACUCUGUCAGCCUCUCCACAUUGAUUCAUCUCCCCAGCCCCAAGAUCAGGAGAGCAUUCUGUUCCUUGAAGCAUUUUAUGACUGUAAGUCAGAAGUGCUGCAGUUUUAAUAAAAAGCUGUAUUGUCCUGA
rnacentral:lncRNA from 1 species